ensembl:lncRNA
CCACCUACUACCGGAGGUUAAUCUGGGGCUUUGGUCAGGUAGCCACCUACUACCAGAGGUUUAUCUGGGGCUUUGGUCAGGUAGCCACCUACUACCGGAGGUUAAUCCAGGGCUUUGGUCAGGUAGCCACCAACUACCGGAGGUUUAUCUGGGGCUUUGGUCAGGUAGCCACCUACUACCGGAGGUUUAUCUGGGGUUUUGGUCAGGUAGCCACCUACUACCAGAGGUUUAUCUGGGGCUUUGGGGAGGUAGCCACCUACUACCGGAGGUUAAUCUGGGGUUUUGGGGAGGUAGCCACCUACUACCGGAGGUUAAUCUGGGGUUUUGGGGAGGUAGCCACCUACUACCGGAGGUUUAUCCAGGGCUUUGGGGAGGUAGCCACCUACUACCAGAGGUUUAUCUGGGGCUUUGGUCAGGUAGCCACCUACUACCAGAGGUUUAUCUGGGGCUUUGGGGAGGUAGCGGCUCCCAUUACCUCACCGCUGAAGGGGGGACCGGUGCGUUUGCAGUGGUCGGCUGAGGCGGACAGGGCUUUUGGUCACCUGAAGGCUCUGUUUACCUCGACUCCGGUGCUGGCUCAUCCGGAUUCCUCUUUGGCGUUCACAGUGGAGGUGGACGAGUCCGAGGCUGGGAUAGGAACCGUGCUCUCUCAGCACUCGGGUACGCCACCAAAGCUCCGCCCCUGUCCCUUCUUCUCAAAGAAGCUCAGCCCGGCGGAGCAGAACUAUGACGUGGGGGACCAGGACCUGUUGGCUGUCGUCAAGGCC